GGUGAACGCUGGCGGCGUGCCUAAGACAUGCAAGUCGAGCGGGCCGCGGGGUUUUACUCCGUGGUCAGCGGCGGACGGGUGAGUAACGCGUGGGUGACCUACCCGGAAGAGGGGGACAACCCGGGGACACUCGGGCUAAUCCCCCAUGAGGACCCGCCCCUUGGGGUGUGUACAAAGGGCUUUUCCCGCUUCCGGCUGGUCCGGCGGCCCAUCAGCUAGUUGGUAGGGUGAUGGCCCAACAAGGCGACGACGGGGAGCCGGUCUGAGCGCGGGGCCGCCCAGAGACGCACCAGAACCCUGGCCGAGCUCGCACUGGAGACAGUAGGUAGAUAUCUGCCGCACUGGGCGCAAGCCUGACGGAGCGACGCCGCGUGGAGGAAGUAGCCCUUCGGGGUGUUAACUCCUGAACCCGGGACGAAAACCCCGACGAGGGGACGGAGGGUACCGGAGUAAUAGCGCCGGCCAACUCCGUG
rnacentral:rRNA from 1 species